rnacentral:rRNA from 1 species
AGCAGCCGCGGUAAUUCCAGCUCCAAUAGCGUAUAUUAAAGUUGUUGCAGUUAAAAAGCUCGUAGUUGAACUUCAGGCCUGUCCAGAUGGUCCGCCUUAAUUGGUGUGUACUGUCCUUGGGUGGGUCCUACCUUCUGGCGAAGCGGCAUGGCCUUAAUUGGUUAUGUCGGGGAACCAGGACUUUUACUGUAGAAAAAUUAGAGUGUUCAAAGCAGGCAAAUAUGCUCGAAUACAUUAGCAUGGAAUAAUGGAAUAGGACGAUGGUUCUAUUUUGUUGGUUCUAGGACCGUUGUAAUGAUUAAUAGGGAUAGUUGGGGGCAUUAGUAUUCAAUUGUCAGAGGUGAAAUUCUUGGAUUUAUUGAAGACUAACUACUGCGAAAGCAUUUGCCAAGGAUGUUUUCAUUAAUCAAGAACGAAAGUUAGGGGAUCGAAGACGAUCAGAUACCGUCGUAGUCUUAACCAUAAACUAUGCCGACUAGGAAUCGGGCGAUGUUGACAAAAUGAACUCG